GGGGUUGUAGCUCAGUGGUAGAGCGCUUACCUCACACGCAUGAGGCACUGGGUUCGACCCUCAGCACCA
rnacentral:tRNA from 1 species